rnacentral:tRNA from 4 species
GACCCCGUCGUCUAGCGGCCAAGGACCUCAGGAUUUCCUCCUGAUGACAGAAGUUCAAAUCUUCUCGGGGUCGCCA